AUGGCCAGCAUACUUUCCAAACGUCUCGGCAAGCGGUCUCUCCUUGGCGCCAGGGUCUGCACUCCGAGUUUAGUUGCAGACUGCAUGUCCAUUGAAGGGCCCGGAGACCUUACUGGAGGGGCCCAUCUUGGACCUUAUGAUGGAGGGUUCCUGAAGGAGUGUCUUGAGGAAAGUGCUUUUCCUUCUGGAAGUCGCUUCAAGCUGUAUCCGGGCCAGAAGGUGUACGUUACACACAAUGGCAAGGAGUGCGCUGGUUUGGUGGAGCAACACAACCACGUGGACGAUGAGGUGAAGGUCUUUGUGUUUGAGCUUGGGCUGCACCUUUGCCGAAAGACGGAAGAUGUGCGUUUUGCAGAGGCUCCGAAAUCUAUGAUCGUCCCCAUGGAGCAAGUGAUGUCCACCAGCCCCGUGACUUAUUCCAGCGCAGCCCAGAGAAUGGUGUCUUGCAGCAUUGAUGUCCCAAAGAGGCGCUCGGAUGCGGUGGAUAUGGAUGAAAUGAUGGCGGCCCUGGUCCUCAGCAGCCUGUCCUGCAGCCCCAUCGUGCAGAGCCCACCCUGCAGCGACAUCAUCCCAGCUCCUCAAGUCACCUGUGACCUGUGGAAGGAAAGCGGGGACGUGUCGGACAGCGGCAGCAGCACCACCAGCGGGCACUGGAGUGUGGAGUGUGGCGCCUCCACCCCCUCCCCUCCUCACACCGAGGCCAGCCCCAAGUAUACAGGCGAGGUCUUCAGUGCUUCCCAUGUGGAUGAAGGAUUCGAGACGGACCCUGAUCCUUUCCUUCUGGAUGAGCCGGCCCCUCGGAAGCGGAAGAACUCGGUGAAGGUGAUGUACAAGUGUCUGUGGCCGAGCUGCGGAAAACUGCUGCGCUCCAUUGUGGGCAUUAAACGCCAUGUGAAGACCCAGCAUCUGGGAGACGGGAUGGAUACUGACCAGCGUAAGCGAGAAGAGGACUUCUACUACACCGAGGUCCAAAUGAAGGAUGAGUCUGAGGUGGAGAACACCCCAAGGAGCCCCAGCACUGCUACCGCCCCUCUUCUCAUCCAGCCGAUCACCCCCAAGCCGGAGACGCAGGCUCUGGAGGUGCCCUUUGUGGAGUCUCCAUUGCCCAGUGCGCUCAGUCAGUCUGCUCCAGGCUCCUUCUGGCAUAUCCAGGCCGAUCACGCUUACCAGGCGCUGCCUUCCAUCCAGAUCCCAGUUUCCCCCCACAUCUUCACCAGCAUAAGCUGGGCAGCUGCUCCCUCUACGCUCCCAGCCCUCUCUCCAAUCAGAAGCCGGUCGCUCAGUUUCAGUGAACAGCAGCCACAGACUCCAUCCAUAAAGUCGCAGCUGAUUGUGGCCUCGCCCCCCAGAGCGUCUAAUGGUAGCAGGAAAGUUCGUGGUGAAGCAAAGAAAUGCCGUAAAGUGUAUGGCAUCGAACACCGGGACCAGUGGUGCACCGCCUGCCGGUGGAAAAAGGCCUGUCAGAGGUUCCUCGACUGAACCCCACUCCCUAAGUAUCCACGUCUCCCAGAAGGCUCGGGGGCGGAUUUAGCUUCAAGCCUCCUAGAGUCUGCUUGCGAAGCUUCUUGGAGAAAGUGGUGAUGACUAAAGACUGUAUAAAUUGUAAAUGUCGAAACCUUUACAUCAUUGUAUGUCGUCCAGAUUUUGAAUUUUUUUUUUUUUUAUAGACUGUAGGGAUUUUAUUUUAUUUUUAAACUUUCCUAAACGGAUGUGUAGGGACCAAAAGUGUUGAAACUUUUUUUUUUUUUUUUUUAAGGAAAAAAAAAAUCCCUCGUCGCUACAAGUUUUAAAAAAAAAAAAAUUCCGAAGCAUCGAGAUGCCCGUCCUUGUUGUAUAUAGCGUCUUCCUCACCUCAUUGGCCUGUAAAUGUCCCACACCGCCACAAUAUGUCCUCCUUCUAUUUUGUUACAUGGUUUUUAUUGCAGACAAUUGUACAUACAGUAAAGAUGCAUUUUGACUGCUGCAGUGUCCAGGGUCCAUCGUUGGAGGGGUUUCUCAUGCUUUAUUAGUAUCUGAGGAGUCUAUGAAGCCAUUUUGUAUUGUCUAUUGUCAGAAAUAUUGUAUAGAGUCCUAAAAAGUGCUGUCCAAUAGCCAACAAUUCCACAAAAAGGAUCAUUGUCAGGCCGAUAUCUCAUGAUGUGGUGCUCUGUAUUUAAUGCAGUCUAAGUGGUAACAUCCAUAUAUGACAUUGAGCAGCUAUUCUUUCUAUAUUGGUACCUUUUUGCCUGCACAAAGAGAACAUUGCUAUUUUGUGGGUUCAGCUGGUCUUUCUAGAGCAGCCCAUGUACUCUGAGGAACCUUGGCAAGGAGGCCUCAACGCCAAGAUCCUCAUCAGAUACUUGGCAAGAACUUUUUUCCAUUGCUGAGGAAUGGUAGCUAUGCUGCCUUCUCUUUGGUACUAGAGCUGAAGGGAUGGCCCUAAACACCACCAGCACUUCAUCUGAACGUUGGAGAUACCUUUCGGACAUAGACAUGGAUGUGUCACCACAAAUUAGAAGGUCUAAAUGAUGGGACUGCUCAACUUUCAGUUGCUGUUCCCGUUAAGAAGUCAACACUUAAGGGCCCAAAAAGUCUAUCUGAUGGUGACUUGCAUUCACAUGACUAGAAUGAAGCAAAACUUUUAUUUUGAGGUCAGACUGGUUCCAUAAUCACAAAUUGUCCAUCACGAGAUGUCUUCAUCUCCACUCGUGACUAAAUGGGCUCUUCCAUUUUAAUAGAUGGUGGUGCUGGGCUCUUGCUUGUCUUGUAAGUCAUUUUCCAGAUUUGGAAAAACAUGGCUGCUUUCUUCUGAGCCAUGAUACCACCAACAACCUGUGGUGUGUUUUUGUUUUUUUGUGUGUGUUUUUUUUUUAAGAAAGUAGCCAUGUUUUUCCUAUCCAGGACUGGGACAGCACCUUUUUAAGAAUGAAUUGGCUGUUUUUGAAAUGCUGGUUCAACCUACAAAAUGGCCUAUCUGGUUCUCUUCUAAUGGAAAUGUGCUAAAUGAGACCUGCCAGUAUUAAGCAGAGGAAUCCUGAGAUGAUGCAAAGCAUGUCACAACUUUUGAGAACAUAAUUCAUGUACAGUAGAUUAACCAUUGUCUGUAGGGUUCUGGCGGACAUGGCAGUUGAUCAUCUAGACCAAUGUUCCUCAAAUCUGCCCCCCAAAGAACCUCAAACAGACCAUGUUUUCUGUUUUUUCUAAGUGAAUGUGCGUUGUCCAGGUGGUGCUCUCUAUGGGAUGGCCUCAAAUUGUGACCUGUUUGUGGUUCUCUAAGACUAGAGUUCUGGAACCCUGCUCUAUGCUUGCUGUAUUAAUGUACCAUCCAUGCCCAUGGAUUGAUUCUGACCCAAAUCUUAGCUUAUUGGUUUUGCCCAAUGACUCCACCAAGAAUUCUGUGGUCUUCCGGUUUGAUUCUCCUCCUUUUUUCUGCAGGUUAAAAGUCCUAAAGUCUUGGCUCGGACCAUUUCUACAAGGUGCUGUCCAAAAAGAACUCUGUCCCUGUCAGUAUUCUGAGUACUUUAUCAUACCCAAAGGCACUUAUCAAGGUGUGAUGUGUUACGGGACGGCACGGGGGGCUCAAUCACUACAGUUUCAUCGUGUUUACAAGUGACCAUGAUUAGGAGGAGUCAAGCCAUAAAAAAGGCCUCCUCAUGAUAAUGGUAAACUUGAUGAAACUAUGUGACCCCCCCAACUUCCAGCUUCAAGGAAGAGUGGUCCAUAGAGCCUUUAAUGCACCUUUUUAAAAUUUAGAUUUUAUUUUUUUUACUCCAUUGUGUACUUUACUUUUAUUUUCUUAAAGUGAAUGUAUCUGUAUAGUUAGGGUUUAGCGUUUUAUAGCGGAGCUUUAGAGCAAAAAGUUGGAAGGAUCGGACUUUGAUUUUUAUUUUAUUUUAUGAAAUAUCCGUAUAUGGGGGGUGAAUGCUAUACCCAGUAAUCCAAUAUAUAAGGUGCUGCUGACUGCAUGACGCUGUGUCUGGCUUAUACUGGAAAAUGGCUCCUGAAAAGGUGACUUUCUAUACAUGUAGCAAUCCAAUUUUCCAAUUUUUUGGGGUUUUGUUUUUUCCUAAUUUGCUGCUUCUCUGGAGCUAUUGUAACGAAGCUAUACACUUUUAUACUACUUUAAUGCAUAUUCUUCUGUGAAACCACUCAGACCCGGGAGUAGAGUAAAAUAAGCUGCGCCUCGAAGAACGUCUAUACCCCGGACAAUGGACGUUUCGUAUGUUUGGGCUGUUUACUUCUGUAUAUGAUUUUGUGCUAUUUUUUUUAAAGCUUUUUUUUAUUUGUUUUCCAGUUUUUGUUUUUUUUAACCCACAAAAAUGUGCACGCUCCAUUUUGGGGUUUAAAUGUAAAAGCAUUGUAGAUGGAAACGGAUAGCAUUCGGACGCCAUCCACGUGUUGUCCGUUUUUCAUGGGUAGUUGUUAGGAAGUGAAAAAAAUGGUUGAGAUGCUGAGGCCCUACGGACGGUGAAAAAACGGGGAAAGGGAACGCAGUCGGAGACGAUACUGAUCGCACACGGAUGGUAAAUGGUCCGUUUUUAGAAAACUGAAUACGUUUUGCAACACCUGUCUGAGCCCUUAGGUUAAAUUCACGCAGGACGGAGGAAUCCAAAGUAGAAUCCAGAGGAAGGCGAGUAGAUGAGAUUUUUAACUUUUUUAUUUUUCUUCAUAAUUUGCUGCAAAAUUGGCGCAUCAAAUAUGCAGAUUUUGCAGCCAGGAAUUUCAAAACCACUUCUUUA